CAGUAGCCGCGGUAACACGUAGGUGGCGAGCGUUGUCCGGAAUUAUUGGGCGUAAAGGGAGCGCAGGCGGACAUAUAAGUCCAUCUUAAAAGUGCGGGGCUCAACCCCGUGAGGGGAUGGAAACUGUAUGCCUUGAGUGCAGGAGAGGGAAGCGGAAUUCCCAGUGUAGCGGUGAAAUGCGUAGAUAUUGGGAGGAACACCAGUGGCGAAGACGGCUUUCUGGGCUGCAACUGACGCUGAGGCUCGAAAGCCAGGGGAGCGAACGGGAUUAGAUACCCCAGUAGUCCCUGUCUCUUAUACA
rnacentral:rRNA from 1 species